GAUGAACGCUAGCGGCAGGCUUAACACAUGCAAGUCGAGGGGUAUAGGUUUUCGGACCUAGAGACCGGCGCACGGGUGCGUAACGCGUAUGCAAUCUACCUUUCACAGAGGGAUAGCCCAGAGAAAUUUGGAUUAAUACCUCAUAGUAUAGCAGUUUCGCAUGAAACCACUACUAAAGUUCCAACGGUGAAAGAUGAGCAUGCGUCCCAUUAGCUAGAUGGUAAGGUAACGGCUUACCAUGGCUACGAUGGGUAGGGGUCCUGAGAGGGAGAUCCCCCACACUGGUACUGAGACACGGACCAGACUCCUACGGGAGGCAGCAGUGAGGAAUAUUGGUCAAUGGACGCAAGUCUGAACCAGCCAUGCCGCGUGCAGGAUGACGGUCCUAUGGAUUGUAAACUGCUUUUGUACGAGAAGAAACAACAUUACGUGUAAUGUCUUGACGGUAUCGUAAGAAUAAGGAUCGGCUAACUCCGUGCCAGCAGCCGCGGUAAAAC
rnacentral:rRNA from 1 species